rnacentral:tRNA from 1 species
UAUAGGUUAGCAAAUAGUGCAUCUGAUUUAGGAUCAGAACAUAAGAACAUAUCUUACCUAUAG